CGAGAAGUCCACCGACCAGCGAACCGGUGACCCUAACAAGACGGGCGUGGCUCGAGGAGAGCUGACAUGCUCUUCCGGCACGCGACGAACCACCCCCGGCGGUAUGUGCGCCAAGGAAUUGAAAUGGAAUGAGCGCGGCUCUCUCCGGGAUGCUGGCACGCGUUUGGAACUUACACGACUCUCGGCAACGGAUAUCUCGGCUCUCACAUCAAUGAAGAACGUAGCGAAAUGUGAUACUUGGUGUGAAUGGCAGAAUCCCGUCAACUAUCGAGUCUUUAAACACAAGUUGUCCCCGAGGCCACCUGGCCGAGGGCAUGCCUGCCUGGGUGUCAUGCAUUGUGCUGCCUCAUCCGGCACUCGCCUCAUCCAGCGACGGCGUCACGGGGCGGAGACUGGCUGCCCGUGCACCCUGCGCGCGCGGCUGGCUGAAAAACAAGCGCUCCCCCGUAGGGGCGCGGGUGGGGUGAUAGGUGGUUUGAGAGGCGGCUGCCUCAUCGGAGACAGGACGCUGCACCCAUCGUCCCGCUCCCGGGGGUAAAGUGACACCCAACUCGACUGCCCCGGGCGG
rnacentral:misc_RNA from 1 species